rnacentral:rRNA from 1 species
GUGAGGUAAUGGCUCACCAAGGCGACGACGGGUAGCCGGCCUGAGAGGGUGACCGGCCACACUGGGACUGAGACACGGCCCAGACUCCUACGGGAGGCAGCAGUGGGGAAUAUUGCACAAUGGGCGCAAGCCUGAUGCAGCGACGCCGCGUGAGGGAUGACGGCCUUCGGGUUGUAAACCUCUUUCAGUAGGGAAGAAGCGAAAGUGACGGUACCUGCAGAAGAAGCGCCGGCUAACUACGUGCCAGCAGCCGCGGUAAUACGUAGGGCGCAAGCGUUAUCCGGAAUUAUUGGGCGUAAAGAGCUCGUAGGCGGUUUGUCGCGUCUGCCGUGAAAGUCCGGGGCUCAACUCCGGAUCUGCGGUGGGUACGGGCAGACUAGAGUGAUGUAGGGGAGACUGGAAUUCCUGGUGUAGCGGUGAAAUGCGCAGAUAUCAGGAGGAACACCGAUGGCGAAGGCAGGUCUCUGGGCAUUAACUGACGCUGAGGAGCGAAAGCAUGGGGAGCGAACAGGAUUAGAUACCCUGGUAGUCCAUGCCGUAAACGUUGGGCACUAGGUGUGGGGGACAUUCCACGUUCUCCGUACCGUAUCUAACGCAUUAAGUG